rnacentral:rRNA from 1 species
GUGGGGAAUAUUCCGCAAUGGACGAAAGUCUGACGGAGCAACGCCGCGUGAGUGAUGAAGGUUUUCGGACUGUAAAGCUCUGUUGUUUGGGACGAAAGUGCCUGUUGCGAACAGUUACGGGUAUUGACGGUACUAAACGAGGAAGCCACGGCUAACUACGUGCCAGCAGCCGCGGUAAUACGUAGGUGGCAAGCGUCGUCCGGAAUUAUUGGGCGUAAAGAGCAUGUAGGCGGGAAUCUAAGUCUGUUGUUAAAAUGCGGGGCUCAACCCCGUAUUGCGAUGGAAACUGGGUGUCUUGAGUGCAGGAGAGGAAAGGGGAAUUCCCAGUGUAGCGGUGAAAUGCGUAGAUAUUGGGAGGAACACCAGUGGCGAAGGCGCCUUUCUGGACUGUGUCUGACGCUGAGAUGCGAAAGCCAGGGUAGCGAACGGGAUUAGAAACCCGGGUAGUCC